rnacentral:rRNA from 1 species
GAUGAACGCUGGCGGCGUGCCUAAUACAUGCAAGUCGAACGAGGUGCUUUUGUAGCAAUACGAGAGUAUCCUAGUGGCGAACGGGUGAGUAACGCGUUGGUGACCUACCCCAAAGUGUGGGAUAACAGUCCGAAAGGAUUGCUAAUACCGCAUGUGGUCUUCGGGUUUAGAAACUGAUGACUAAAGGAGCAAUUCGCUUUGGGAGGGACCUGCGUCCCAUCAGCUAGUUGGUGAGGUAAUGGCUCACCAAGGCUACGACGGGUAGGGGACCUGAGAGGGUGACCCCCCACAAUGGAACUGAAACACGGUCCAUACACCUACGGGUGGCAGCAGUAGGGAAUAUUGCACAAUGGGCGAAAGCCUGAUGCAGCAACGCCGCGUGUGCGAUGAAGGCCUUCGGGUCGUAAAGCACUUUCUGGGAGAUGAGCAAGGACAGUAUCUCAGGAAUAAAGUCUCGGCUAACUACGUGCCAGCAGCCGCGGUAAU